rnacentral:lncRNA from 1 species
UGGUAUAAUUUAAUAUUUUAUAGUUUUUUUCUAGUAUUGACAUGUACACGUUACUACUAUUACAAAUAUAUUAAAUAGCCUAGCCCAUACAUUUAUUGGGAAACCCUAGCUAAGUGCAGUUAAAAAAAUUUUACUCUCCUUUCAAACAAGAGCAAUGAUUCUCCACCUUAAAAAUAAGGUGAGGAGAUACACACCACUCGACCUUUUAAGGACUCUACUUGGUUCCCUCUUCAUACUUCAUAGAGUCUAAGCCCUAAGAAGCAAAACAAAAACAACAAACAGCAAAUGCGAGAAAUUUUACUCAAAAAGUAAUUUUCCAAGAUAUUAACUACGAAACUAAUACACUGCACCAACGCUUAGUUCUAUAUACAGAAUGCAGCUCAUAUUGACUUUAUUUCACGGAUAGACAAAUUUACAAUGUUGAUGGUGCCAUAUGCUUUGCCAUAAGCCUAAUAAGGGCAAUUUUGAAAUUGUACCGAAAUAUUUUUACAUUUUAAAAGGAAGAUUGACUGUUUCCUUACUAAAAUUAAUAUACGCUACUUAUUCCUUUACUGUUUUCAUAAUACCCAAUAACCUUAAUUAUAAAAUAUUACCCUUAUUUU